rnacentral:lncRNA from 1 species
AACAUUGUUGAAUCACCGGUCAUGUGUUGUGUGCACCCACUAUCAAGCACCCAAUGCCUUCCUCCGACUUUAUAGUUUACCUACAAAACAAAUCAAUGUUUUUUAGGUACCCAUACUUGCGUGGGUCCUUGGAGGCUAGUGACUAAGCUCUUUGGUACCCAAAUGGCCUUCUUCUUUGGACCCACAAUUGGUGUACGAACAAACUUAGCAUGCACACCCUUCUCACCCUU